rnacentral:rRNA from 1 species
UACGUAGGGGGCAAGCGUUAUCCGGAUUUACUGGGCGUAAAGGGCGCGUAGGCGGCCUUCUCAGUCAGACGUGAAAUCCCCCGGCUUAACCUGGGAACUGCGUCUGAUACUGGAAGGCUGGAGUUCGGGAGAGGGAUGUGGAAUUCCAGGUGUAGCGGUGGAAUGCGCAGAUAUCAGGAGGAACACCGGUGGCGAAGGCGGGUCUCUGGGCAGUAACUGACGCUGAGGAGCGAAAGCGUGGGGAGCGAACAGG